AUUGAACGCUGGCGGCAUGCUUUACACAUGCAAGUCGAACGGUAACAGGCCGCAAGGUGCUGACGAGUGGCGAACGGGUGAGUAAUGCAUCGGAACGUGCCCAGUCGUGGGGGAUAACUACUCGAAAGAGUAGCUAAUACCGCAUACGAUCUAUGGAUGAAAGCGGGGGACCGUAAGGCCUCGCGCGAUUGGAGCGGCCGAUGUCAGAUUAGGUAGUUGGUGGGGUAAAGGCUCACCAAGCCAACGAUCUGUAGCUGGUCUGAGAGGACGACCAGCCACACUGGGACUGAGACACGGCCCAGACUCCUACGGGAGGCAGCAGUGGGGAAUUUUGGACAAUGGGCGCAAGCCUGAUCCAGCAAUGCCGCGUGCAGGAAGGAGGCCUUCGGGUUGUAAACUGCUUUUGUACGGAACGAAACGGCUCUGGUUAAUACCCGGGGCUAAUGACGGUACCGUAAGAAUAAGCACCGGCUAACUACGUG
rnacentral:rRNA from 1 species